CAAUAGCGUAUAUUAAAGUUGUUGCAGUUAAAAAGCUCGUAGUUGGAUUUCUGGUUGAAGCGACCGGUCGGGCGUUGAUUCGUCUGCACUGGAGUCGGUUUUGGCCAUCCUCUAGGAAAGUGCGUCUGGUAUUAAGUUAUCGGGCGUAUGAUCCUGGUCUUUUACUGUGAAAAAAUUAGAGUGUUUAAAGCAGGCCUUCGCCUUGAAUACAUUAGCAUGGAAUAAUAAGAUAGGACUUUGGUCUAUUUUGUUGGUUUGCAGACCGAAGUAAUGAUUAAUAGGGAUAGUUGGGGGUAUUUAUAUUCCGAUGUCAGAGGUGAAAUUCUUAGAUUUUCGGAAGAUAAACUUAUGCGAAAGCAUUUACCAAGGAUGAUUUCAUUAA
rnacentral:rRNA from 1 species